rnacentral:rRNA from 1 species
UAAUUUUAAUGUUUAUUGGUUUUGAUUAUUAUUUUAAUUGAAAUAACUUAUUUAUUUAGUAUAUUAUAGAAAUUAUUAAUUAUAAUUAUAGUUUAUUUUACUGUGAGGGAUACAUAAAAAUAAUUCGAAGAUUAGUUUAAUUCUAGUACCUUUUGUAUCAGGGUUUAUUAAAUUUUAUCAUUUAUUUGGUUUUCUCGAAAUUAUAAGAGUUAAUUUUAUAUGGAAUUUUAUGUUACAAAAUGAUUUUAAAUAUAAAAUUUGUAGUUAUAUGCUAUUCAUUUAUAAAUAUCUAGUUUCUUAAUAAAUAAAUUUAAUUUUUAAUUAUUGUAGUUAUAUUUUCUUUUUAUUAUUUUUAAUUCAUUAAUUUAAGAUGUAAAGGGAUUAGCUUUUGCAUUUUUAUAUAAUUUGUAUUUUUAUUUAAUUUAUGUAGGUUUAAGAACAUCCAUCUUUAAUUUCGUUAUAGUUUUAUUUAUAUUAUUAUUUAUUUAUUUUUAAUUUAUUAUUUUAUUAAGAUUAAUCUUUUAAUUUUUUAUAGUUUGUAAUAAUGAUAAAAUUAGUAGUUUUGUAAAAUUUAAUAUAGUAAUUCGGCAAAUAAUAUCUUCGCCUGUUUAACAAAAACAUGUCCUAUAGAUUUAAUUUUAGGUCUAUCCUGCUCAAUGAUUAUUAUUAAAUAGCCGCAGUAAUUUGACUGUGCAAAGGUAGCAUAAUCAUUUGUUCUUUUAUUGGGAUCUUGUAUGAAGGGUUUGACGAAAGAUAUGCUUUCUUUAUUUUAUUUUUUGAAUUUUAUUUUUUAGUUAAAAAGCUAAAAUGAUUUUGUAAGACGAGAAGACCCUAUAGAAUUUAAUUAAAUAUUUUCUUAUAGUAUUUUGUUAAUUAUUUUAUUUUAUUGUAAUUUUAAUUUGAUUGGGGUGAUUAAGAAAUUUUAUUAACUUUCUUUUUUAUUAAUCAUUAAUUAAUGUUUAUUUGAUCCUUUAUUAUGGAUUAAAAGAUUAAAUUACCUUAGGGAUAACAGCGUAAUUUCUUUGGAGAGUUCAUAUUGAUAGAGAAGAUUGCGACCUCGAUGUUGGAUUAAAAUUAUAUUUUGGUGUAGAAGCUAGAUUUAUAAGUCUGUUCGACUUUUUAAUUUUUACAUGAUCUGAGUUCAGACCGGCGUAAGCCAGGUUGGUUUCUAUCUACAAUAAAUUAAUUAAUAUUAGUACGAAAGGACCAUAUUAUUGUAAAAUUUAUUAAUUUUUGAUUAUUAUU